CCGCCGGCCGGGAGGUGAGAGCGAGAUGGCGGCGCCCUGAGGAUCUCGAACACACGGAGCAGGCUGGAUGCCCACAGGCAGCAGGACACUAUCACAGGCUGCCCGAGGACUCAUCAGGGGCACAGGACUAUUCUUUAACUGUACACAGGUCUCCUUGCCAAGAUCUUGCCUUUGCUGCCUUGGCCUCUCCGGGGCCAGCCCCAGUUACUGGUACCAGCUGCUGUUACGGCGUGUAUCUCUCCUGUCCACAGAGAGAAACCAAGGUGGUGGUGCUGGGGCUUUCCAUUUCUCCCUGCUUUUGAACACUUGGUUUCGCCGAGCCUGCACGGCUGCAGAGGACAUGGCAGAACAGAGGUACUGCGUAGACUAUGCCAAGCGUGGCACAGCAGGCUGCAAGAAGUGCAAGGAGAAGAUCGUGAAAGGAAUGGUGCGCAUUGGAAAGAUCGUUCCCAAUCCUUUCACAGAGUCUGGCGGGGACAUGAAGGAGUGGUACCACGUGAAGUGCAUGUUUGAGAAGUUAGAUAAGGCCCGGGCCACCACCAAGAAAAUCGAAGACAUCACAGACUUGGAAGGAUGGGAAGAGCUACAAGAUGGGGAGAAAGAAUUAAUCAACAAGCAUAUCUCAGAAGCUAAUUCCAAGACUGCAAGUACACCGAAGAAAAAAGUGAUAGUCCAAGCUAAGCUCACUGCCACAGGGCAACUAACUACAAAAGAUCCACUAGCUCUCAUCAAUCCAUCACCAAAGAAGUUCUCUGGAUUCACAGCCAAGCCAAAGAAUUCAGAAGAUGUCUCUGCAAACUCUGCCCACAAGUCCAGCCUGUCUGCAAAACAAUGUGACCCGAAGCACAAAGACUGCUUGCUGCGAGAGUUCAGGAAGCUCUGUGCCAUGGUUGCUGAAAAACCCAGCUAUAAUGUGAAAACGCAGAUCAUCCAGGAUUUUCUGAAGAAGGGAUCUGGAGGAGAUGGUUUUCAUGGUGACGUAUACCUGACCAUUAAGUUGUUGUUACCAGGCGUCAUUAAAAUUGUUUACAACUUGAACGAUAAGCAGAUUGUAAAGCUGUUUAGUAGGAUUUUUAACUGCAGCCAAGAAGAAAUGAUCCGGGACCUGGAACAGGGAGAUGUUUCCGAGACCAUACGCCUCUUCUUUGAACAGAGCAAGACUUGUCCUCCAGCAGCCAAAAGUCUCCUGACCAUCCAAGAGGUAGAUGAAUUCCUAAUCCAGCUAUCAAAGCUUACCAAGGAAGAUGACCAGCAAGGUGUGCUGCAACAUAUCACUCGCAGGUGUACAGGCAAUGACCUGAAAUGCAUCAUCAGGCUAAUUAAGCAUGACUUGAAAAUGAACGCUGGAGCAAAGCACGUGUUGGAUGCUUUGGAUCCCAACGCUUACGAGGCGUUCAAAGCGUCGCGCAACCUCCAGGAUGUGGUGGAGCGAGUCCUGAAGAACCAGCAGGAGGCUGAGAAGAUGCCAGGCCAGAAGCGAACCCUCAGCGUGCAGGCCUCCCUGAUGACCCCGGUCCAGCCCAUGCUGGCUGAAGCCUGCAAAUCCAUUGAGUAUGCCAUGAAGAAGUGCCCGAAUGGCAUGUACGCAGAGAUCAAAUACGACGGUGAGCGGGUGCAGGUCCAUAAAAACGGAGACCAUUUCAGCUACUUCAGCAGAAGCCUCAAACCCGUCCUCCCACAUAAAGUAGCCCAUUUUAAGGACUUCAUCCCUCAGGCUUUCCCUGGUGGGCAAAGUAUGAUCCUGGAUUCAGAAGUUCUUCUGAUUGACAACAAAACCGGCAAGCCUCUUCCUUUUGGGACUCUUGGUGUGCACAAGAAAGCUGCUUUCCAAGACGCCAACGUUUGCCUGUUUGUCUUUGACUGCAUCUAUUUCAAUGACAUCAGCCUGAUGGACAGGCCUCUGUCUGAACGCCGUAAGUUUCUCCACGACAACAUGGUUGAAAUCCCCAACCGGAUCCUCUUCUCGGAGAUGAAGCACGUCACAAAAGCUUCAGAUCUGGCAGAUAUGAUCACCCGAGUCAUCCGUGAGGGACUGGAAGGACUGGUGUUGAAAGAUAUAAAGGGUAAUUAUGAACCAGGAAAACGACACUGGCUGAAAGUGAAAAAGGACUACCUGAACGAGGGUGCAAUGGCUGACACAGCAGACCUGGUGGUGCUGGGAGCUUUCUAUGGACAAGGCAGUAAAGGUGGGAUGAUGUCCAUCUUCCUCAUGGGCUGCUACGAUCCCAAGAGUGAGAAGUGGUGCACUGUGACCAAGUGUUCUGGUGGCCAUGAUGAUGCCACCUUGGCACGGCUUCAGACAGAGCUGGAUAUGGUGAAGAUCAGCAAGGAUCCUAGUAAAAUUCCAAGGUGGCUGAAAAUUAACAAAAUCUACUACCCUGACUUCAUUGUCCCAGAUCCAAAGAAAGCCCCAGUGUGGGAGAUCACGGGGGCUGAAUUCUCUAAAGCUGAAGCCCACACUGCAGAUGGGAUCUCCAUUCGCUUCCCUCGCUGCACCCGCAUCCGAGACGACAAAGACUGGAAGACAGCCACCAACCUCCAGCAGCUUAAGGAGCUGUACCAGCUCUCCAAAGAGAAGGCUGAUUUCAGUGUUGCUGUUGGGGAGGAAGAUGAGUCCACAGCUGGCAGCAGCGGGGAGAACGAAGGAAAUUCCAGGUCUUCCACACCACACAGCGCUGUUAAAACUCCCCCAAGCAAGUCACCUGCAAAAGCCAAGAAGCCAGAAGAGAAGCCAGAAGAGAACAAACCAGUCAUUGGAUCGCCUCAAAAAUCGGAGGAGAAACGAGGGGAGAAGAGAAAAGCAUCUGAGAUGGAAGACAACGAAAAAAAGACGCUGCUGGACAUAUUCACUGGUGUGAAGCUCUACCUGUCGCCCUCCGUGAAGGACUUCGACAAAAUCCGACGGUACUUUAUAGCCUACGAUGGGGAUCUCGUGCAAGAAUUUGACACAGCCUCAGCGACGCAUGUCAUAGGGGACAUUGAUGACAAUCCUGGUGCUAAACGUGUCUCUCCCAACUGGAUCUGGGAAUGCAUCCGGAAACGGAGGCUGGUGGCCCCGUGCUAGGAGUGCGGGGCAGCUGAGCGGUCCUGGCACAGCAAUUCCCUGAAGAGUACAGCUGAGGACUAGGACUUAUUUUCCAAAGGUUAUUCUUUGCCGGAACAGGAAACCCGACCACCAAAUCCGUGAGGCUGUACUGCCAGGAGAGUUCUGCUGCACGGCUACAGUUUGGGUGAAGGACACGCAUCCUCCUGGUUUGAUUUUUCUUCCCUGUCUUCUAACACUGAGCACAGACCUGUAUCUCUCUGUCCAGUAGCAGUUUACACCUCUGCUGUAGGCUUCAUAUUAAAACUAGGACACCAAAUAAGCUUCCAUUACAGCAACUGCUGUAGCAUUAGCCAAGUGUCCUCUUGGAAUGGGGUUGUUUUAUGGAAUCUGGUGCUCAUGUGUUCUGGGAUUCAUGUUUCAACAAGUAAAAGCUGAGAAAGGAACUCUACCACCUGGAUAUGCUAGGAUAGCUGAGAGACCUCAAAACUAUUGGAAGUACUUGAAUAUUAAUGAAAUAAGGAAGAUUGGUUUUUUAUUUUAUUUUUUUUUAGGGUUCAUUUUAACUCAACUAUUUUGCAAAUGACAAUGUGCAUUUGCUGAAUAACUCUGCAAGAUUGGCCAACUACGCAGUAUAUUUAUGAAAGAAAAAGUGGUUCCUUAUCUCAAAAGAGAACAGUAAUAUCAUGAAUUUGCAAUAUUCAUAAAGAUAAGAUUAUACUGCUAAAAAGUCAGUGGUUUCAGUUAACUUUUUU